rnacentral:tRNA from 1 species
AGUCCAGUGGUUAAGACUCUGCACUUCCAAUGCAGGGGACACAGAUUCAAUCCCUGU